UACAUGGGGGUGCAAACGUUGCUCGGAAUCAUUGGGCGUAAAGCGCGUGUAGGCGGCCACACAGGUCCGCUGUGAAAACUCGAGGCUCAACCUCGAGCUGUCGGUGGAAACCGUGUGGCUAGAGUCCGGAAGAGGAGACUGGAAUUCCCGGUGUAGCGGUGGAAUGCGCAGAUAUCGGGAGGAACACCCGUGGCGAAGGCGGGUCUCUGGGGACGGUACUGACGCUGAGACGCGAAAGCGUGGGGAGCGAACAGG
rnacentral:rRNA from 1 species